AUGUCUUUGUUUUCCUGUCCGUUAUUGUCGGGUGGUGGUUGUUCACAGUCAGGUGGUGGUCAGGUGUGUGCGUGGGUGCGUGCGUGCGGGUGUGCGUGUGCGUCCACUCCUCGGCCCCGGGCCCCCUGCGCGCCCCGCCCGGCCGCCCCGGGCCCUUCCCCACGUGCCCCCGGCCCUCCCCCUCCAGCCUCACCGGAGAGGAGAGGGUCACAGCUUCUGCUGGGCCGAGACCCCCUUCCAGUAAUCGAGGAUGUCGUGCAGGUCCUCGUCCUUGGCGAACUGGACCUUCUUGCGCAGAGCGUGGCCGGCGGCCAUGUACACCUCCUCCCGGUGGUGCUUCUUGUAGGGCCGGAAGCGCUCCCAGAUCUUGUGCGUGCUCUCGGACGAGUACUCAGGGCUGGACGAAUAGCCCGAGUAGUAGUGUCUGGGGGAGAGCUGCGAGUAGGUGGAGUCCCGCUUGGUGCGGGUCAGCGGCUUGAGGAAGGACACGCGCUGGCUCAGGCUGUCGGUGCCCUCCUCGUAGUACAGGGCCGGGAAGCUGUGCCGGUGCUCGCUGCAGUGGUAGGCGGGCUUCACCUCCAGGUGGUGGACGCCGCCCCCGGUGCUGCUCCCGCUGCUGCUCGCGGGCACCAGCGGGAGCCGGUCCAGCGGGCUGUUCAGGGGGCUGCCCUUCUCGAUGUACUUGGAGUCGCCCUUGGCCAGCCCCGUGGCGGCCGGGUGAUCCGGCACAUCCAGGCUGAAGACCUUGGCGCUCUUGAUGGAGCCGCUGGAGGAGACAGAUGGGAAGGGGGGGGCGAAACCAUCUAAUUGACACCUACUAUGUGCCAGACGCGAUGCUACACACUUGUCAUUCUUUUACGUAACCGACCUGGGAGAGUUGGGAAUUCGGUACCAUUUCCCUCAUUUUACAUUGAGCAACGGAACCUUCUGGAAGUGAAGUCUCUUGCCCAGGACACACACACACCGAGGAGGAAAAGAGCCAGAUUUUGGAUGCUGCGAGAUGUGGGGAGAGUGUGGCAGGGGUCGAGGGGCCCCCAGCUGAGGCCAUGACAGGCUCAGGCCUGGGAAAGAUACUGAGCCUGGAGCAGCACCCUCUCCAUUAUCCACGGGAGCCCCUAGGGGGCCCCCACUGUGUGCCUGGUGCUGUGCCAGGCCCUGUGGGAGAACCAGGGAGCAAAGAACUGCCUUAGGGUCACUCUGGAGGGUGGGGGCACAGGAGGACCAGGAAACCGGGACUGAGGCCCUGGAGCCUUUCUGCCCCUCUGCCCCCACAGCCACACCCACUGCUUCCCUGCAGCAAGGUCACUGCCCCCCUUUACAGAUAAGCAAAGCAAGGUCCGGAGAGGUCCUUCAGUGAGAGGGGGUACUCCGAGCUGCCCACGGUCCCCUGGCAGAGGAGUUCACCGAUUAAUCGUUAACGAUGCCAAGAGUCUGCCUCUGGGGCUUCCAGUCCUGGUUCCACUGCUGUGUGGCCCUGAGCUGGUCUGUAACCUCUCUGUUUCUUCUCUGGGAAAUGAGGAAUGAUAAUAGCUCUACUGCAGAAGGCUUUAUGGGAUUAAACGAGUGCCCUUUAUAAAGAGCUUCCCACCAGGCCUGGCUUUCAGUACAGACUCAAUGGGUAUUAGCUAAUGUCAUUAUUAUCAUCACUGUAAUUAUUGCUGUCAGCAGCAUCGUUCAGCCCGAGCCCUUCUUGUGGCACCCUGGGUGUAAGCUAGCCCAGGUGGCUUGCCUGUCCCCAGGGGGGCUUUCGGGGGCCUCCCUGGGGACUGUCUGCAGAGCCGGGGGGUGGGGGGAGGGGGUCUGUGAU
rnacentral:lncRNA from 1 species